rnacentral:rRNA from 1 species
UGAGUAACACGUAUCCAACCUGCCGUCUACUCUUGGACAGCCUUCUGAAAGGAAGAUUAAUCCAGGAUGGCAUCAUGAGUUCACAUGUCCGCAUGAUUAAAGGUAUUUUCCGGUAGACGAUGGGGAUGCGUUCCAUUAGAUAGUAGGCGGGGUAACGGCCCACCUAGUCUACGAUGGAUAGGGGUUCUGAGAGGAAGGUCCCCCACAUUGGAACUGAGACACGGUCCAA